CGUUAAUAAUAUUCCGAGAGAGAAUUAUUCCCAAGAGAGAGUCCAUAACCUCACUUACUUAAUAUGUCAUUUGACAGCAUGAUGACAUUAGAUGUAUAAAUAAGCAGCGAGAUUAUGUAUUGACAUAGAAAGAUUAUAUAAGCAGCCCAGAAUAGCUACACAAUGUCAAAAUCAUAAGCAUAUGAAAAAAUCACAAAAUUCACACAGCAUAAAGAAGAGAAAGCACUACAGUUUCAAGCAUAAAUGUGAUGCUCAAUUAACUCUCUGGGAAAGUAAUGUCUUCGACAUCAAUAAAUGCCUCGAUGAUGAAGACUCCACAUAAUACUCAUAAUCUGUGAUCUAAUCCCAAAGGACACAGCAUGUUCCAUACAUACUGGGCAUCAAAACCUCUGAGACAAGAUGCAUCAAUGGAGCCAUUAUUCACCCUCAGAUGACAAUAUACACAAGCAGAUCCAAUUGUCAUAUGUGUCAAUUAUUAAUUAUUGUCUACUCACUUAGUGAAAUUUCAACAUAUAUCAUAUGAUAGUAUAUUCCACUAAUUAUUCAUAAACGACUAGCAAAUUCAAUGUCGUCUAAUAUUAGUACAUAAACAGCAGUGUCCAUAAAAGGAAAACCCUGCAUCCGAACAUGGCAAACUGUCAGGCUAUUUCCAUUUACAUAUGACACAUUCACAAGAAAUUAUGAUUUAUUGUCAAUCAUCAAUUAACACUCACGUUUUCUGAAUAUAAGUUAUCUUAUAUUUAACUUUAAAUUAGAUUAAGUUUAAAUUCAGUUCUUAAUGAAGUCCAGAUAAUUCACCAAUUACAGUACAUGAUAUAUUAUUAGUUUAAUCUGAAUAGUAUAAUUGUAAGCUAAAAUAAGUUAUAGUGAAAUAGCCUGAAGUUAAAUUACACUUCACAACAGUUAUUAAUUUCACUUAUCUUAUAUUUUCAGCACAGUACUUAAAGAGAACUCCACCUCAUAGCCUGCAAGUCAAUCCCAGGGAGGACAGCAAUUCCAUUCAAUCAGGACACCAUGACCUCUGACACGAUUCCAAAUGCAUCAACGGGGCCAUUAAUCAUCCUUCAGUGACAGAUGUACAUCCUCCGCUCCAACAGUCACUUAUCACACAUGUCUUGCGUAACAUAUAUCAAUUAUUUAGUUCAAUCAGCUUCCUUGUAAAUUUGUCGACGCACUUAGUAUGUAUCAAGCAUAUAAUAUAAUAUGACACAUGAUAUUAAAUUCCAGUCAGUAUUCUUAACAAAGUUAAUUCAAUAAGUAAACAAGAGAGUAAACUUAUCCUAUUUUAUUUAUUUUAAAUUCAAAUAUUGUAAUGUUCUCGAUACUGUAGAAAUAUUUAUAAUCUAACACUUAGUUAUAAACCAUAUAUUAAUAUGCUAAAGUUUCUGGUUUAUUUCAGGAUACCACACCGGAGCACAAUUACAGCCUAUAUAUAGUUCCUUCAAUAUUUAAUGAGGAGGAAGAGAAGAAUAAUCAUUCUUUUAUCCUUAUAAAUGCUCAGUGUUGUUCAAUGCAUAAGUUAAACAAAACACUCAAGUAAGUCAUUUAUCUCAUUCUUGAAAACAUUCAUAUGCUGCAUAUAAAAGGAAGAAGAAGAAGAAAGAUCCUGCAACCACUCAAAAGUCUGCAACCUAUUUCCAUCUUGAGAUGACACGUCACAUAAUCAAGUUUAUCAGCAAUUAAUACACACAGUCGUUAAGAUAAUGCAUCGAAGUCCAUCACAGGCAAAAUUAAUGAGGAGAAAGAAAAGAAUAAUCUUUCUUUUAUCCUUAUAAAUGCUCAACAUUGUUCAAUGCACAAGUUAAACAAAACACUCAAGUAAGUCAUUUAUCUCAUUCUUGAAAAUAAUAAUCAUGUAUUGCAUAUGAAGGAAGAAGAAGAAAGAUCCUGCAACCACUCAAAAGUCUGCAACCUAUUUCCAUCUUGAGAUGACACGUCACAUAAAUCAAGUUUAUCCGCAAUUAAUACACACAGUUGUUGAGAGAACUAUGUCGUAAAAUCCGUACACAAGUCAUCCAAAACAGUAAUCAAUGUGCAAGACACUACUUUACUUUGCACAGAAGUAACAUAUGUUUUGGACCUCCAAAAAUUAUGAGUUAAGUUGCAAACUAUCUCCUAUUUUCGAUUGUUCAAGGAGAUUGAUUCACAUAAUAUAUUUUCUUCCACACAAUGUAUAUAAAUAUGCCUAUAAUAGGUUCCAAUUUGUUUCAGAAGAAUUAUCAGAAUCAACACAACACAACCAUUAAAUGCAUCCUAAUCUUCUAUUAUUUUAGUGUAUUAAGAAUUAACUUCCAAUAAAUCCUUUCAAAUAAGUAA